rnacentral:pre_miRNA from 1 species
UUUGUACUUCCUCCGUUCGAAAAUACUUGUCAUCAAAAUGGAUAAAAAAUAAUGUAUCUAAAAUUAAAAUACAUCUAGAUACAUCACCUUUUAUUCAUUUUAAUGACAAGUAUUUUCGGACGGAGGGAGCACAUA